CUCGAUUCUAAUCGAGCCUUGGACCAAGCCCAAUAAAAUGGCUUGGACUCUCAUGGUAGACUUUCCACUCUUAAACCAUGAGAGUAUAAAUAUGAGUGGACCCUAAAGGUGGAGGACAGUCGAGUUUUAUUUUAUCCAAGGUAAUUCUCAACGAGAAUUCUUUCCUUCCUUCUUUUAUUUCUUUCUAUUUUUUUCUACCGAAUUUCUUUAUUCUUACCUAUUUUCAGUACACGAUUAUCCUUGGAUUAGGAUAAUCUAAUUUGAAUCAAUCGAUUUGAAGGGAACACAAACCCUACUCAAUUGUUUAUUGUUCCAUUGCUUGGGAAACGCAAAGUCUGGACAGAAAUCGUCCAUUUGGUGCAACUGAUUUAAGGAAGUGUUCGAGGCCUUCAUCAAGUGGUAUAAGGGAAUUGCGAUCUACAAUUGGCCGAGGACAUCAACCAAAAAAAAAAUACACUUUGCGAUUUGCUAUUUGGACAUCAAUCGCGAUCUACGUCUGGACGGAUUUGCGAUUUCACUGUGCGAUCUAGGACUUCAUCAAGUGGUUUGCGAUUUCUGUACGAUUUCACAGAAUAGUGCGAUUUCACAGAACAUUGCGAUUUGCAAUUUCUGUGAUCUGCAUUUUUGAGCACGGACCUGGACGGAUUCUACAUUCUCGCGGACGGACCUGGACGGAUUUGACAACACUUGUAAUCGCGAUUUGCAGUUAGAGGGAUUCACCUUUGCGAUUUUAUUUCUGGACGGAUUUCAGCACACGUGAAGUAGUCCAGCACAUGUGAAAAAAAAAGAGAGAAAAAAGAGAGAAAAAAAGAGAGAAAAAAAAGAGAAAAAAAAAGAGAGAAAAUCUUUGCAAUUUAUUUUAGCGAAUUUUCCUGGACGGAAUUGCGAGCACACGUGAAGAAUUCCAGCAUUUAUUUCUUUACGAUUUAUUCCAGCAUUUUUAAGAUGGCCGAGAACGUCACACGUGAAGAGUUUGAGAGGUUGGCAAAAGUACUAACCGAUUUAACAACCUUUGUUAGGGACGGUUUCCAAACAAUGCAACAGAAUUUGCAACCUAUUCAGCCGCAUGGAGGAGCAGAUCUGGCAGUGAAUGGAGAGGCAGAACCGGCAUUAAACUUCAGAAGAAGAAACCCACCCAUAGCUAGGGAGCGUUUGGAAGAACAGAUCUGGCAGGGGGAAAAUUUCAGGCAGCGUGACAAUUUCAGACAGGAAGAAAAUUUCAGACAGAGAGGACUUUUUAAUAGACAGAUUGAGGCUUCAGUCAGUUUUCGGAAAUUAAAAAAUAAACUCCAAACAACACCAGUAUUGGCUCUUCCGAAUUUUUCUAAAUUUUUUGAAGUAGAAUGUGAUGCCAGCAUUUCUGGAGUAGACGCAGUACUAAGUCAGAGUGGUCAUCCAGUAGCAUUUCACAGUAAGAAACUCACUGCAAGCAGAAAAAAUUGGACCACAUACGAGCAAGAAUUAUAUGCUGUUGUCAGAGCAUGCAAGGUGUGGGAGCUUUAUUUAAUUCAGAGAGAGUUUGUAGUCCUCACUGACCAUAUAGCUUUGAAACAGAUAAAUGGGUCUUCUAAUACUAACAGAAUGCACAACAGAUGGUUUUCCUUCUUACAGAGAUUCGAAUUUACAAUAAAGCAUAGAUCUGGUGCAAACAACAAGGUAGCCGUUGCAUUGAGCAGAAAAAAUUCUUUAUUAACAAUCCUAAGAUUAGAGGUGGUAGCGUUUGAUUGUCUAAAAGAAUUAUAUCCUACUGAUGAAGAUUUUUCGAGAAUUUGGGAGGAAUGCCUUCAGAAAAAACACAAUAAGGGCUUCAGAAUCAAUGAAGGAUUCCUUUUCAAGGAAAAUAGAUUAUGCAUUCCUCAGACAUCCUUGAGACUACAAUUAAUAAGGGAUUUACACUCGGGAGGAUUAGCUGGCCAUUUUGGGAGAGAUAAAACAGUAGCCCAAGUAGAAAGCAGAUAUUAUUGGCCGGGAGUAAGAAAAGAAGUAGAAAAAUUUGUGCAAAGAUGUUCUAGGUGUCAAGAAGCAAAAGGCACUAGUCUGAAUAGUGGUCUUUACACCCCUUUACCAGUAGCUAAAGAACCAUGGACUGACCUCUCUAUGGAUUUUGUCCUUGGGCUACCUAAAACUAGUAAAGGGUUGGAUUCUAUUUUUGUAGCAGUCGAUAGAUUCUCGAAGAUGGUGCACUUUAUUGCUUGUAAAAAAACAAAUGAUGCUUCUCACAUUGCAAAAUUAUUCUUCAAUGAGGUUAUAAGACUUCAUGGCAUUCUAAGUAGCAUCUUAUCAGAUAGGGACAUAAAAUUUCUAUCUCACUUUUGGAGAAUUUUAUGGAAGAGAUUUGACACAAAUCUGAAAUUCAGUUCUACAUGUCACCCACAAUCUGAUGGGCAAACAGAAGUAGUCAACAGGUUUGGAAAUCUAUUAAGAGCACUUGCAGGGAAACAACCAAAACAGUGGGAUCAACAUUUUUUUUGUUUUGAAGCAAUUAAAUUUCAUUAGAAUAAGGCUAAUGCCAAGUUUACAAAAUAGAGAAUAGAAAUAAAAAAUAGAAGUAAAAAGAAAUGAGCAAAAUGCUCAUUGACUCUCUCCCAUUAGCUAUGUAGUCUAGUUAUACAGUAACUAGAUACACUGCCUCAGAAGGUUGGUCUCCCAUACUUCCAUCAUAGAUAUCUCCAAAGGGUGACAACAGCUCUUCUUGUAAUACACUGAAUCAAAAGAGAGACUGAUGUCUUUAAUGACCUCCUUAAGGACUACCUCAGGAGGCCUAUUAAUGUGCUACCUAAACCUUUUAUUUCUUUCCGUCCAUAUAUGCCACGACAAGCACCCAAUAGCAUUCCAUAUUAACCCCCAAGGGGGAGAGUGGCGCAUAAUCUUUUGUGCUGCUUCCGUCAGAUCCCCCAAUCUAAUAUCUGGACUUGAUUGGGUGGGAACUGGAAUAUUCAUUAUUUUCCAGAAAGCGAAAUCCAGCUGUCCCGCCAACGAAAUUAAGAGAGAUCUGGAAUAAGAACAGUUAAAGAAAAGAUGACUCCUAGUUUCAUCUUCCAGAUUACACAGUAAGCAAGCAGGUACUUGUACUCUCCAACUUCUUAAUUUCCUGAACGUGUUUAGAUGACCCCAUUUCACCCUCCACAAGAGAAUAGAGAAUUUUGUUGGCAUCUUCGACCAAAUUCCCUCAGCUAACAUGUCUGUAUGCUUUCUAUCUCUAAUACUUUCCACUAUUCCCCCCAAUUUAUUUAUCGGACUACCAGAUCUCCACAUAAUCGUACUAUUCGCUCUACAAUCCAAACAUUUAUCCACUAAGCUUCUUUCUGAAACAAAAGCUUUCCAAAAAUGCGAAUCCACAGUAGGUCUGAUUUGUAUAUCAUUAAACGCCUUUCCUUUAAUAUACCUAUCUUGGAUCAAUUUUACCAGAAUAGAAUCGCUCUUAUCCCAGUACUUUGAAGCUCUUUUAAUAUUGGUUACAGUGGUGAUAAUAGGAAGGUCUCUAACCCCUAGACCCCCUUUCGACUUGGGAAGGAUCAUUUGGGCCCACGGGAUCCCUUUCCUUCCGUCCCAUAUAAAUCUAUAAGCUAACCUUCUCACCUUCUUAGCCACAGAAUCAGGGAUAGUCAUACCUUGCGCCCAAUAAGUAUACUUUUCAGCUAUUAUCCAGUUAACUAAUUGUAUUCUCCCUCCAUAGGAAAGACAUUUCCCACUCCAUCUUGCUAGGAGCGCCUCUAUAGACUGGAUUAGCUUCCAGCACUGUCCAAAUGGGAUCAAUAUUUAGCUCAAGCGGAAUUUGCCUUUAAUUGCAUGCCAAAUAGAUCAACGGGAUGUGCACCUUUUGUAGCUGCCUAUGACCACCUUCAAAAGAAUAUAAUGGAUGUUACCUCCACACCUUCAGUGAAUAAGAAGGUAGAAGAUAUUAUAGAAUCCAGCAAAUUAAUACACAAGCAAGUAGAAGAAUCAAUAACCAGAGCCAAUGAUCUCUAUAAGGAAAGAGCUGAUAGGUCUAGAAGAUUUCAGACUUUCAAUGAAGGUGAUUUGGUAAUGGUUCACUUAAAAAAAGACAGAUAUUCAGCAGGAUCUUAUUCUAAACUGAAGGACAACAAUUUUAGACCUUGCAAGCUACUAAAGAAGAUUAGUGACAAUGCUUUUGUAGUAGAUCUACCUCCAGAAUUCAACAUGUCAUCAACCUUCAAUGUUGCAGAUUUAAGAAGAUAUUAUCCACCUGCAGAGGAAGAAAACCAAUUGAGGACAAUUGUGUUCCAAGAGGGCUCGCCUGAUGCAGCCCUUAUAAGUGCUUGCAUUAAUAAUAGGCUCGAUUCUAAUCGAGCCUUGGACCAAGCCCAAUAAAAUGGCUUGGACUCUCAUGGUAGACUUUCCACUCUUAAACCAUGAGAGUAUAAAUAUGAGUGGACCUUAAAGGUGGAGGGCAGUUGAGUUUUAUUUUAUCCAAGGUAAUUCUCAACGAGAAUUCUUUCCUUCUUUUAUUUCUUUCUAUUUUUUUCUACCGAAUUUCUUUAUUCUUACCUAUUUUCAGUACACGAUUAUCCUUGGAUUAGGAUAAUCUAAUUUGAAUCAAUCGAUUUGAAG
rnacentral:lncRNA from 1 species